rnacentral:lncRNA from 1 species
UGGAGAACAGUACCUGCUUGUAUCUGGUGGAUCAUUUGGAAGAAGAGAAAUCAGAAAAUUUUUGUAGGGAAAGAAUGCACUAUAGAGAAGAUUAAGUGGAAAGUAAUUACCACUUUAGGUUUUUGGUGUAAAGAAAUGAACAUAGAAGAAGAAAUUCAACUAGUGGAUUUCAUAGGAGCUUUGUAAGUAGUCCUGUUUUUUUUUGUUGAUUUUUCUAUGUAACUAACACUUUUGGAGAUGGCC